UGACCAGAUCAAAUGAAAAACAUCAAGCCCUGGAUGCAGGUGUCAGAGUCAUUCACACUUGACUUCAUGGGGCCAAAGUCUAUGCAUCUUACCUGGAGGAUAUCUCCAAACUCAGCCAAGAGCAGCUGCUUCAACUCUUUCUUGCAAAGCAAGGUCCCACACUGGCUACUGUUUGGAGAGUCUGGGCACGACUGCUUUGGGUGUCAAGCACAAGUCUCUUGGACCUCACCCCUGCUCCCUUUUAGGGCCUUGUGACCAUAGAGCUCAGCAGCUGAAGGAAUGUGGCCAGAGAAAAGAGCCUCAGUUAAGACUAUUAGCCUUUGGGCAAAGAAUGAGGACAUCAACCAUCAGUUAAAAACAAGGCAAAUAAAUGGCUUUGAGUGGUUUUCUUUCCCUUUCUUUCUUUCUUUCUUUCUUUCUUCCAGUGAAUUGACAGAUGUUUCUGAUACCGCUCCGUU